GAUCAACGCUGGCGGCGUGCAUAACACAUGCAAGUCGAACGAUGAAACUUUAAUGAACCCUUCGGGGAGAAUUAAAGCGGAUUAGUGGCGAACGGGUGAGUAACGCGUGAGUAACCUGCCUUACACAAGGGGAUAGCCUUUGGAAACGAAGAAUAAUACCCUAUAAAACCAUAAAAGCACAUGCAAUUAUGGUCAAAGUGAUAGCGGUGUAAGAUGGACUUGCGUCUGAUUAGCUAGUUGGUGAGAUAAAAGCCCACCAAGGCAACGAUCAGUAGCCGGCUUGAGAGAGUGUACGGCCACAUUGGGACUGAGACACGGCCCAGACUCCUACGGGAGGCAGCAGUGGGGAAUUUUGCACAAUGGGGGAAACCCUGAUGCAGCGACGCCGCGUGAUUUAGAAGGCCUUCGGGUUGUAAAAAUCUUUUGUAUAGGAAGAAAAUGACAGUACUAUACGAAUAAGGUCCGGCUAAUUACGUG
rnacentral:rRNA from 1 species